rnacentral:rRNA from 1 species
GACGAACCGUGCGAACGUUGUUCGGAUUCACUGGGCUUAAAGGGCGCGUAGGCGGGCAACCAAGUCAGGGGUGAAAUCUUUCGGCUCAACCGGAAAACAGCCUCUGAUACUGGUCGUCUGGAGGGAGGUAGGGGUCUGUGGAACUUCUGGUGGAGCGGUGAAAUGCGUAGAUAUCAGAAGGAACGCCGGUGGCGAAAGCGACGGACUGGACCUCUUCUGACGCUGAGGCGCGAAAGCUAGGGGAGCAAACGGGAUUAGAAACCCCCGUAGUCC